AAGAGACAGAGGGAGGGAGGGAGAGAGAGAGAGAGAGAGAGAGAGAGAGAAGGAAGGGGAAUCACUUUGUGGGAUGGAGGCGAAGGCCCCGAGGAGCAAUGCGAGAGCGAACAUGGAGGCAACGCCUUGGCUCGCCAUUCUCUUUCUC